rnacentral:rRNA from 1 species
AGAGUUUGAUCCUGGCUCAGAUUGAACGCUGGCGGCAGGCCUAACACAUGCAAGUCGAGCGGAUGAAGGGAGCUUGCUCCCUGAUUCAGCGGCGGACGGGUGAGUAAUGCCUAGGAAUCUGCCUGGUAGUGGGGGACAACGUCUCGAAAGGGACGCUAAUACCGCAUACGUCCUACGGGAGAAAGCAGGGGACCUUCGGGCCUUGCGCUAUCAGAUGAGCCUAGGUCGGAUUAGCUAGUUGGUGAGGUAAUGGCUCACCAAGGCGACGAUCCGUAACUGGUCUGAGAGGAUGAUCAGUCACACUGGAACUGAGACACGGUCCAGACUCCUACGGGAGGCAGCAGUGGGGAAUAUUGGACAAUGGGCGAAAGCCUGAUCCAGCCAUGCCGCGUGUGUGAAGAAGGUCUUCGGAUUGUAAAGCACUUUAAGUUGGGAGGAAGGGCAGUAAGUUAAUACCUUGCUGUUUUGACGUUACCGACAGAAUAAGCACCGGCUAACUUCGUGCCAGCAGCCGCGGUAAUACGAAGGGUGCAAGCGUUAAUCGGAAUUACUGGGCGUAAAGCGCGCGUAGGUGGUUUGUUAAGUUGGAAGUGAAAGCCCCGGGCUCAACCUGGGAACUGCUUUCAAAACUGGCAAGCUAGAGUAUGGCAGAGGGUGGUGGAAUUUCCUGUGUAGCGGUGAAAUGCGUAGAUAUAGGAAGGAACACCAGUGGCGAAGGGACCACCUGGGCUAAUACUGACACUGAGUGCGAAAGCGUGGGGAGCAAACAGGAUUAGAAUACCCUGGUAGUCC